rfam:Nitratiruptor tergarcus DSM 16512 genome assembly, contig: NitteDRAFT_scaffold1.1
CCUGGUGCCUAUAGAGCGGAGGAAACGCCCAGUCCCAUUUCGAACCUGGAAGCUAAGCUCCGCAUCGCUGAUGAUACUGCAGCCUUCGGCUGUGGAAAAGUAGGUCGGCGCCAGGC